GCCGGGGUGGCGGAAUUGGCAGACGCGACGGCCUUAGGAGCCGUUGCCGCAAGGCGUGCAGGUUCGACCCCUGUCCCCGGCA
rnacentral:tRNA from 1 species